GAUGAACGCUAGCUACAGGCUUAACACAUGCAAGUCGAGGGGAAACGACAUCGAAAGCUUGCUUUUGAUGGGCGUCGACCGGCGCACGGGUGAGUAACGCGUAUCCAACCUGCCCACCACUUGGGGAUAACCUUGCGAAAGUAAGACUAAUACCCAAUGAUAUCUCUAGAAGACAUCUGAAAGAGAUUAAAGAUUUAUCGGUGAUGGAUGGGGAUGCGUCUGAUUAGCUUGUUGGCGGGGUAACGGCCCACCAAGGCAACGAUCAGUAGGGGUUCGGAGAGGAAGGUCCCCCACAUUGGAACUGAGACACGGUCCAAACUCCUACGGGAGGCAGCAGUGAGGAAUAGUGGUCAAUGGACGAGAGUCUGAACCAGCCAAGUAGCGUGCAGGAAGACGGCCCUAUGGGUUGUAAACUGCUUUUAUAAGGGAAUAAAGUGAGUCUCGGGAGACUUUUUGCAUGUACCUUAUGAAUAAGGACCGGCUAAUUCCGUG
rnacentral:rRNA from 1 species